GACGAACGCUGGCGGCGUGCUUAACACAUGCAAGUCGAACGGAAAGGCCUGCUUUCCCUUGUGGAUUGCGGGUACUCGGGUGGCGAACGGGUGAGUAACACGUGAGUGAUCUGCCCCCAACUUGGGUAUAAGCCUGGGAAACUGGGUCUAAUUCCCGAUAGGACUGCAGGGUGGUGCCUGUGGUGGAAAACGAUUCUCUAGUGGUUGGGGAUGAGCUCGCGGCCUAUCAGCUUGUUGGUGGGGUAAUGGCCUACCAAGGCGGCGACGGGUAGCCGGCCUGAGAGGGUGGACGGCCACAUUGGGACUGAGAUACGGCCCAGACUCCUACGGGAGGCAGCAGUGGGGAAUAUUGCACAAUGGGCGGAAGCCUGAUGCAGCGACGCCGCGUGGGGGAUGACGGCCUUCGGGUUGUAAACUCCUUUCGACCGCGAGGAAGCCACCUGGUUGGAAGGGUGGUGACGGUAGUGGUAGAAGAAGCACCGGCUAACUACGUG
rnacentral:rRNA from 1 species